AAGUGAUUUUAAUAUUAUUUUUUUGUUUCCUAUACAUAUAUACUAAUAUCUAUUUUAAAUCUUUUUAGAUGCAUACGAAAGGGAGUGGCCGGAUGACCGGACGACCGAAUACAUCAUAGGGAGUAAUCCGUCUCUUUCCUUUUACAUUUAUGCAUUUAAUUUAAUUUAGCAUUAUGCAUAUCGAAAUAGAUUUAUUUUUACGUCGGUCCCGGGACAUGCAUGCAUUAAUUUUUUUGUUUCUAUAUUUUAUACUAACUUGUUUUCAAGUGUUUUUAAUUUGUAGGUAAAGCUUAUGUGGAGACGAGGGGAUCCGCAAAGAUCCUUCGACCUCGAUUUCAAAUCCAUGGUAAGUGAUUUUAAUAUUAUUUUUUUGUUUCCUAUACAUAUAUACUAAUAUCUAUUUUAAAUCCUUUUUAGAUGCAUACGAGAGGGAGUGGCCGGAUGAUCGGACGACCGAAUACACCAUAGGGAGUAAUCCGUCC